AGUUUUGCUAGGUAUCUGUCGUCAGGUUUUUUAGAAAAAAUUGUCACAUUUUUGUCCACCGGCGCUGCUAAAAUCAUACGUCCCGUUCGGCUGGUUGGGAAAGAAGCCCAGCCGCGCUGGUUCUUGCAUGUUCUGGCUUGGCUGGUUUGGUGGAUAAGCAGGUUCGGUGGAUCAGCCCAGCCAGCUAAACGGGGCCGAGAAAUCUCCAGUACCUCCAGUUCUCACUCCCGUCUCCCUCCUCUCCCCAAUCUCCUUUGUUCAUUCAGGUUGAAAUAUGUGCUCUUUCGCGUCUGACUCUGUCAAACUACCCCGUAGUGUGGACUUGUAGGGAUGCUAGGUGAAGUGGGAGAAGCGGAGCAAGAAGCAGUUCUGAUCAAGACAUAACUCUCGAUCAAUAUUCUUAGUAAUAUUACUCAUAAGUAGGCAUAAUAGCGAUUAUUACAUUUAGAUUUGUAUAUGCAUUCUUAUCUUGCGAUAUUUUUUUUAAAAAAUAUAUAUUUAGAUGGUCAAAGUACUGCUGUUUUCUUAUCGAGAUUCCCAAGCAACAAUUUUGCCUCUCCCAUCAAUAGGUUUAGCUAGAGCAUUUAUAACA